rnacentral:rRNA from 1 species
AAGCAAGAUGNCCCGCCGAAUUUAANCAUAUAAUUAAGCGGA